rnacentral:ncRNA from 2 species
CUCUGACGCUGGGGGUGCCCAUACCUUAAAUUCACGGGCUGAGAUCACACCCUUUGAACCUGAUCCGGUUAGUGCCGGUGUAGGGAAGGCAAAUGUCCUCAUCA